rnacentral:rRNA from 1 species
UAGGGAAUCUUCCGCAAUGGACGCAAGUCUGACGGAGCAACGCCGCGUGAGUGAAGAAGGAUUUCGGUUCGUAAAACUCUGUUGUUAGAGAAGAACAGCGCAUAGAGUAACUGUUAUGCGUGUGACGGUAUCUAACCAGAAAGCCACGGCUAACUACGUGCCAGCAGCCGCGGUAAUACGUAGGUGGCAAGCGUUGUCCGGAUUUAUUGGGCGUAAAGCGAGCGCAGGCGGUCAAUUAAGUCUGAUGUGAAAGCCCCCGGCUCAACCGGGGGGGGUCAUUGGAAACUUGUUGACUUGAGUGCAGAAGAGGAGAGUGGAAUUCCAUGUGUAGCGGUGAAAUGCGUAGAUAUAUGGAGGAACACCAGUGGCGAAGGCGACUCUCUGGUCUGUAACUGACGCUGAGGCUCGAAAGCGUGGGUAGCAAACAGG